rnacentral:lncRNA from 1 species
AUGAGUAUCCACUCAGGAUCAGCCUGGAACAGUCCUCUUUAAUCUGAAUUUUGGUUCUUCCAAAAUUUAGCCUGCUGAAUCUGAACGAAGCCUGAAUCAUGAUCAACGCUUGAUCUUUCUCCUUGAUCUUCUUCUUCUUCUCUUCUUUAGAGUUUCUUCUUACUUUGUGCUGCUACAAAAUACUAGUAACCAGCAAAUUAUGAGAUGCCUAAUACC